AAGGCGUCCUGGAGAACGGAAAGUGCGAGUCCCGUGUUAGAAGAAUAAAGGAAGCCCUCCGGUGUGCAGGAGGAGACAGUGUCGGAAGAGGAGCUCAUCAGUGGCGAUGCAAGGCGAGGGAAGAUGCUACAGGUGCAGAGGGCGGAUCUGGAGCUGAGCAAGAAGAGCAGUUGGAAGAAGCAAAGAAAGGGCUCGCUCAGCCACCGUGGGAAAUUCCUCCUCAUUUUCCUCCUUCCUGGCACUGAGACUGGAGAGGCGCUGGCCUGGCUUCCCCAUCCCCUCUCAAAGACACUAAGGCCCAGUGCUGCCCAUUCAACCCCCUGGCAUGGCCGCUCCCCCGGGCUGGGAUUUCAGCACAGAAAGAGGAGUCGCCUUGCAACAACGUCUGCGCUCAGCCCUGCAUCCUACGAACUGCCAAAAUCUUGGCUUCCUUUUUGGAAGAAGGAAAAAGAAAAUCAGAGAAACAAACUGAGUUCGUCGGAAUGCUCUACAGCUCUUCUACUGCGGCAUAAACAACAGGCAGUUUCAUUUACAUAAAUCAGAUUGGAAAUUGAAAUGGAGCUGGGAUAGAACAGCAAAGCGGGAGUUGAGGUUCAUGCUGGCGUGUGGGAUGGAAACAAGAAUAGAUACGUGAAAAUCAGUGUCUACAAAAGGCGGAGAAGCAGCCGCAGCCCUGCCAUUCAUCUCGUUCGCAGAUGUCCUUUCUCUUCCUCUCGGCUCCCAUGGCUCCAAGCCGGGGAGCCUGGUGGAACUGGAGGCAGGGAGAGGUGGAGGUUACUGCCCAGUGAAGUAGCUUCCUGCACAAUUUUCCAACGAAUUUGCCUUUUUUUUUUUUUUUUGAGACAGGGUCUUACUACAUAGCCCAG